rnacentral:tRNA from 1 species
CGUCUAGAGGCCCAGGACACAGCCCUCUCAAGGCUGAGACACGAGUUCGAAUCUCGUA